CCUAGGAUCCUACAACCAUACUGGGAGAGUCAUGUCGCGAUUGGCGCUCCAAAGUGGCAAGGUCCAGAAGAACAAGAUAGUAGAUGGUUUGAGCCAGUGAAAUGGAAGAACUUCUCACAUGUGAGUACUGCACCAAUUGAGAGUCAUGAAACUUUCAUAGGCGAUCUUUCUGGUGUAUACAUAGUCACGGGAGCUCAGCUUGGGGUCUGGAAUUUUGGGUCGAGAAACGUUUUAUGAAACUUUCAUAGGCGAUCUGUCUGGUGUGUACAUAGUCACGGGAGCUCAGCUCGGGGUCUGGAAUUUUGGGUCAAGAAACGUUUUGUAUAUGAGGCUGUUGUAUUCAAGGUUACCGGGCUGCACUAUUAGGAGAUCAUUGUG
rnacentral:lncRNA from 1 species